rnacentral:rRNA from 1 species
CGUAGGUGAACCUGCGGAGGGAUCAUUACCGAGUUUACAACUCCCAAACCCCUGUGAACAUACCUAUACGUUGCCUCGGCGGAUCAGCCCGCGCCCUGUAAAACGGGACGGCCCGCCCGAGGACCCUAAACUCUGUUUUUAGUGGAACUUCUGAGUAAAACAAACAAAUAAAUCAAAACUUUCAACAACGGAUCUCUUGGUUCUGGCAUCGAUGAAGAACGCAGCAAAAUGCGAUAAGUAAUGUGAAUUGCAGAAUUCAGUGAAUCAUCGAAUCUUUGAACGCACAUUGCGCCCGCCAGUAUUCUGGCGGGCAUGCCUGUUCGAGCGUCAUUUCAACCCUCAAGCUCAGCUUGGUGUUGGGACUCGCGGUAACCCGCGUUCCCCAAAUCGAUUGGCGGUCACGUCGAGCUUCCAUAGCGUAGUAAUCAUACACCUCGUUACUGGUAAUCGUCGCGGCCACGCCGUUAAACCCCAACUUCUGAAUGUUGACCUCGGAUCAGGUAGGAAUACCCGCUGAACUUAAGCAUAUCAAUAAG